CCUAGCUAUCCUCUCCUCUCAUUCCAUCAGUGCGCCGCCACUCGUUUUCCCCAGCACACAACCCAGCGCACUCCCCUGCCUCUCCCUCCUUGGGAUCCUCCCAGAUUGAUCCCACCCAACGUCGACCCACCGUCAUCCCGAGGCCCUGACCCUUGCCCCUGUCCUCCAGCCUAGAGCCUGAGAGCCCGCAGCGCGCAGCCAUCUGCAGCUCCCCCAAGCCUCUGGAUGCGUCCGCUCACCCGCAGCCUCCUUCGUCCGUGCGGGCAUAGGAGCUCUCGCGAAGAAGGCCCCGCCGGAGCCCCGCACAUGCCGGCCUCGCUUGUAGUCUCCCGCUCGCGCAUGGACGCAACCGUCCCUACCAGCGCCCGCACGCCGUGUUCGUCGCUGCAUGCUGUAGUUGCAGAAGCAGCACCUAAAGCUUCAACCGAACUGGGACCCGAUGCCGACCAUGUCAGUGCCUGGAUCCAGCAGGAACCGAGCCCCGUCGAGCUCCUCGUCCGAGAUCUAGGCUUCCCUAAGCCCUCUGCCUGGUUGGUGGCAACAGCUUGCCUCCAGCCGCGCUAGCCUCGCCUUAGCUCUUCCAAGGUCCGGUUGUCUCACUCACUUCACUGAAUCUACGAUGUAAACACCUAAUUUGGCCCUAGUUCAAAAGAACAUGACCAUGUUUUUGUUCAAACGCACUAAACUAGGCGAGCUUGUAAUCAUCGCCUGCAUUGAACCUAGGGGUUGGGGUUCGAAUUCGAGGCACCGCUAUUUAUUUAUUGGUUCAGGUUCAGGUUCA